CACAAGCAGCGAGGUAUGUGUUUAAUUACGACGCUACGCGAAGAACCUUACCUGGGCUUGACAUGCUUGAGAAAGGACCAAGAAACUAGGUCCCCCACUGACCGCAAGGUCAUGGCUCAUCCACAGGUGCUGCAUGGUUGUCGUCAGCUCGUGUCGUGAGAUGUAAGGUUAAGUCCUUGAACGAGCGCAACCCCUUUCGUCAGUUGCAAACCAGCAAUGGCGCACCCUGACGAUACUGCCAGCUAAAAGUUGGAGGAAGGAGGGGAUGACGUCAAAUCCUCAUGGCCUUUAUGUCCAGGGCUACACACAUGCGACAAUGGUCGGUACAACGGGUUGCAACACCGCGAGGUGAAGCCAAUCCCUAAAAACCGACCUCAGUUCAGAUUGCAGACUGCAAUUCGUCUACAUGAAGAUGGAGUUGCUAGUAACCGCGGGUCAGCUACACCGCGGUGAAUAUGUUCCCGGGCCUU
rnacentral:rRNA from 1 species